AAGGAUUUAAGUUAAAUAAACUUUUAACCUUCAAAGUUAAAUAUAGAUUUUUAUAAAUUAAUCUAAGCCUUA
rnacentral:tRNA from 2 species